rnacentral:tRNA from 1 species
GGGGAUAUGGCGGAAUUGGUAGACGCUGCGGACUUGAAAAUCCGUUGGCUUUAUUGACCGUGAGGGUUCAAGUCCCUCUAUCCCCA